AAAAUGGUGAUCAUUAAAAAAUCUGGAGACAAUGGAUGCUGGAGAGGAUGUGGAGAAAUAGGAACACUCUUACACAGUUGGUGGGAGUGUAAAUUAGUUCAACCAUGGUGGAAGACAAUGUGGCGAUUUCUCAGGGAUCUAGAAAUAGAAAUUCCAUUUGACCCAGCAAUCCAUUACUGGGUAUAUACCUAAAGAACUAUAAAUCAUUCUACUAUAGAGACACAUGCACACGUAUGUUCAUUGCAGCCCUGUGUACAAUAGCAAAGUCCUGGAACCAACCCAAUGCCCAUCAAUGAUAGACUGGACAAAGAAACUGUGGUACAUAUGCACAAUGGAAUACUACGCAGCCAUAAAAAAUGAUGAGUUCAUGUCCUUUCAGGGACAUGGAUGAAGCUGGAAGCCAUUAUUCUCAGCAAACUAACAAAGGAACAGAAAACCAAACACCACAUGUUCUCACUCAUAAGUGGAAGCUGAACAAUGAGAACACAUGGACACAGGGAGAAACAACACACACCAGUGCCUGUUACAGUGUGGGGGGCAAGGGGAAGGAGAGCAUUAGGACAAAUAUCUAAUGCAUUUGGGGCUUAAAACCUAGAAGAUAGGUUGAUAGGUACAGCAAACCACCAUGGCACAUGUAUACUUACGUAACAAACCUACACAUACUGCACAUGUAUUUUGGAACUUAAAGUAAAAUAAAUGAAAAAGAAUGAAAAUGUGGUAUACAACAGGGUAUUAUUCAGUCAUAAAAAAUGAGAUCUUAUUAUUUGCAACAACACGGAUGGAACUAGAGGGUAUUGUGUUAAAUGGAAUAAGCCAGGCAUAGAAGGACAAAUUUCACAUGUUGUCACUCAUUUGUGGGAGCUAAAAAUUUAAACAAUCGAACUCAUGAAGAUAAAAAAUAGAGUAACAGUUAUCAGUGGUUGGGAAGGGUAGUGGGGGUGGGGAGGAAAGUGAGGAUGGUUAAUGGUUACAAAAAUGUAGUUAGAAUGAAUAAGAUCUAGUAUUUGAUAGCAUAACAGCGUGACUACAGUCAACAAAAAUUUAUUGUACAUUUAAAAAUAACUAAAAGAGUGUAAUUGGAAUGUUCCUAACACAACGAAAUGCUUGAAGUGAUGGACACUCCAUUUACCUUGAAGUGAUUAUUCGACUUUGCAUGUAUCAAAAUAUCUCACAUAGCCCAUAAAUAUAUACACCUACUAUGUGCCCAUAUAAAUUAAAAAGAAAAGAGAAAAAAAACAAUAACAAAUAUCCAUCAAUAGGGGACUUGUUAAAUCAAUUAUGGUGCAUUCACAAAAUAGAGAACGAAACAGCUAUGAAAAAGAGAAGUUCUCGGCUGGGUGCAGUGUAUUCCCAACAUUUUGGAGGCUGAGGUGGGUGGAUUACUUGAGUCCAGGAGUUUGAGACCAGCCUGGGCAACAUGGUGAAACCUCGUCUAUUAGCCCGGUUUGGUGGUGUAUACGUUUAGUCUCAGCUAUUUGAUUGGGCUGAGGCAGGAGGAUCGCUUGAGUAAAGGUUCUAGUGAGCCUUGGUUGUGCCACUGCACUCCAGCAUAGGCGACAGAGCGAGAUUCUGUCAAAAAACAAAACAAAAAACCAAGAUUAAGAACAAAAGAUUGGAUGAAUAGAUAAAAGAUAUACAUAGAUUCUAUCUUUUGUGUAAGAAAAGAAGACAAAGAAGACUGCUUAUUUUUGCCAAAAGCACAGGCUCUAGAAGAAUAAAUUUAAAAAUUAGUAAAAGCUGUGUCUUAGGGAGGGCAGGAGAAGGGGGCUGAGGAUAUAGAGGCAGUGAUAAUGCUCUAAAUAUAUUGAGCAAUGUAAAGGUUUUACAAAUUAAAAAAAUAAUAAAAUGAAAAAGGAAAAUGAGAAUACACAGACAUUGGAAACAAAUGAGCUUAAAAUGAGUAUCAGAUGGCUGGACCACGUGCCUCUUCUUGUUGAUUCUGGACUUAAGCUUCCCCAGUAAAGCUUGCUCUUUAUACUGCAACCACGGCAGGCUGUGGAAUUUGCAAAACUUGCUUCAAUUGUGUUUACUGUCUAUUGUCUGUCUUUUCCCACUGAAUAGUCAGCUACACGCAGCAGGGAUCUCUGUCUGCUUUGUUCAUGGAUGUAUACGUAUAGACUGAACGUGUCUGGCACACUGUAGGUGUUCAAUAAAUAUUUAUUGAAUGAAUGAAACUCCUGUGGGCAAGGAAGCAAAGCCAUUCUUUGUAUGUACUUAUUUUAAUGUCGCAAAGCUAGCAUAGUACUAACAAAGGAAUUGCCUGAUACAUAUUUUUAUCUGAGCCCAGAUGUUUUUAGCAGAACUGCAACUACAUGC
rnacentral:lncRNA from 1 species